AUUGAACGCUGGCGGCAUGCCUUACACAUGCAAGUCGAACGGCAGCACGGGUGCUUGCACCUGGUGGCGAGUGGCGAACGGGUGAGUAAUACAUCGGAACGUACCUUAUCGUGGGGGAUAACGCAGCGAAAGCUGUGCUAAUACCGCAUACGCCCUGAGGGGGAAAGCGGGGGAUCGCAAGACCUCGCGCGAUUAGAGCGGCCGAUGCCUGAUUAGCUUGUUGGUGGGGUAAAAGCCCACCAAGGCGACGAUCAGUAGCUGGUCUGAGAGGACGAUCAGCCACACUGGGACUGAGACACGGCCCAGACUCCUACGGGAGGCAGCAGUGGGGAAUUUUGGACAAUGGGGGCAACCCUGAUCCAGCAAUGCCGCGUGAGUGAAGUAGGCCUUCGGGUUGUAAGGCUCUUUUGUCAGGGAAGAAACACCGGCUCUAACACAGUCCGGGAAUGACGGUACCUGAAGAAUAAGCACCGGCUAACUACGUGCCAGCCGCCGCCGUAA
rnacentral:rRNA from 1 species